rnacentral:rRNA from 1 species
AGGACUAACGCUGGCGGCGUGCCUAACACAUGCAAGUCGAACGAGAGUAGCAAUACUCUAGUGGCAGACGGGUGAGUAACACGUGGUCAACCUACCUCUUAGUGGGGGAUAACUAACCGAAAGGUUAGCUAAUACCGCAUUCGAUCUUCGAUCGGCAUCGAUUGAAGAUGAAAGGCGCAAGUCGCUAAGAGACGGGACCGCGUCCCAUUAGCUAGUUGGUAGGGUAAUGGCCUACCAAGGCGACGAUGGGUAGCUGGCUUGAGAGAGCGACCAGCCACACUGGGACUGAGACACGGCCCAGACUCCUACGGGAGGCAGCAGUGAGGAAUUUUCCGCAAUGGGCGCAAGCCUGACGGAGCGACGCCGCGUGUGGAAGAGGCCUUCGGGUCGUAACCACUGUCGAAGGGGAAGAUAUUGACGGUACCCUUGGAGGAAGCCCGGCUAACUACGUGCCAGCAGCCGC